ensembl:lncRNA
CAGCCCUUUUUCAAAACGUUUGAAAUACAGUCCCACUAAAUCACUAAGUUGCCUGGGCUGUGCUUGAACUUGCAGUCUUCCUUCCUCAUACAAUUAUAAUGAGAACCAAGAUUGCAGCACACUCAUGCUUGUAAGAUUAAACCAAAUCUAAGCCAUAGCAUCAUAUGACAUUGCCUCUGCUUUUGUAAGCUGUGUAUGACUCAUUCAGGGACAGACAACUGCUUUUGAGGUUCUUCAAUGCGUGCCUUGGCCAACUGAGGCCCUUCACAGAGGAUCAAUCCCUUGUGAGCUGAGACCUAACAAGCGCUGCAGUUGGUGACAGAGCUGGUGCUGCUGUGGUGUGUAGACCUGAGAGCUGGGAAUGCAAUUUGGAAUCACACAUGAGACUGAGAGCAAUACUGGAGAUUGAACCCACAAACUAGGAAGUGCUUUACCACUGAGCUACAUCCCCUGGAUGUUCCAUCUGAAGGACCUGAGGUCUCCUCCAUCCUACCAUGGUGACAACCUGCCUUGUCCUGAAGCCAAGAGUAUCUCUCAGAGCCCAAUGGAUGAAGCUUACCUGGGAGCUGGGACUAGGGGAGGUCAACAGAGGAUGGAAAGACUGAGGGUGUGUGGGGAAGUGGAAAUGGGCAGGGCUUCUUUGUGGGCUAAAUAGUAACUUGAAAAGAAUAGCAAGAAUAAAGUUUUGCACAAGUAUACAAACUCUGUGUAUCUGUGAUUAUCAUUGUAAUAAGAGAGCUUUCAGGUAAUGAACUGAACUAGUCCACUGUUGUAAACACUGCAUUACGGGCGAAGUUGGCCGUUCAUAUUUCUCAAGGAAGCUUGGCCUUUAUUCUGAUGGAAGUUGUGUUUCCUUCCUGGGAAAAUCUAACUGGGAAAAAAAUGUCUGCUGAACUCCUUUGCAGACUUGUAGAUGGUUUCUGAGUCACAUUUUGAGUAGUACCAAACUAGGAAACCACUAAAGUGGUUGAAAUUAAGCACAAAGAGUUGGAGUUCUGACAUCAGGC